CCGGCUAAUUUUUUUGUAUUUUUAGUAGAGAUGGGGGUUUCACCACGUUGGCCAGGCUGGUCUCGAACUCCUGACCUCCGGUAAUCUGCCUGCCUCGGCCUCCCAAAGGCCGAGGAUUACAGGCUGGGGUUACAGGCACGUGCCACCACGCCCAGGUAUGGCCAUUGUCAAAUCCUGUUUCUUUCUCACUCACCCAGACUGCAGACUAACACAGGUCUUGUCAGACAAUCCCUUACCAGGCCGCUCCAACGCGAGGAAAGUUUAGAAAACAUGGCCCUUUUAGCUGUAAUUAUAUGGCUGGAAGAAGAAACAAAGUUGUGAGCUGCAAUGGAGCUGAAUGUUUUUGUCCCCCCACCAAUCCCCCUCAAAAAACUCAUAGGUUGAAAUCCUAACCCCCAGUGUAAUAGAAAAUGGGGCUUUUGGGAGGUAAUUAGGUCAUGAGGGUAGAGCCCUCAUGGAGGGAUUAAUGACCUUAUAAAAGAGACUCCAGAAAGCUAGCUUGUCCUAUUUCUGCCAUGUGAGGACACAACAAGACAGUAGUCAUGUGCAGCCCAGAAGAGGGUCCGCACCAGAACCCAACCAUGCUGGGACCCUGAUCUCAAACUGGCAACCUGCAGAACUCUAAGAAAUGCCUCCUGUUUAUAAGCCACCAGUUUAUGGGACUUUGUUAUAAGCAGCCCAAGCUAAGGCAUAUGGGCAAUGAAAAUAUCAGAAUUGUUUGAAACUUUAAUCUAUUGUAAUAACUCCUUUCACAUUGUGUAUAAUACGUCGGUUUAACAAUAUGUAAUAAAAUUUUAAAACAAGG
rnacentral:lncRNA from 1 species